UCCAACAUAGACGACUGUCCUACCAGUAUUGAAUUCAACAGCGUUUGAUGAGUGAGCUGACGAGAGCCGCCUAGAUGAAUUUUCCUUUGAUGUCCCCAGCCAGCUCUUCACCAAGAAUAAAUAACCUUGACCAUCAAAGAUGGCAAAAAUCACCUAAGAUCAAAGGUCACAAGUGCUCAUCUCCUGUUUAGGCUUCGCCUAUGGAGUCCAGAGAGAAAACAAGGCCUCCAUAAUCUGGGGUGCACAUAUAGGAGCAAAGCCAUGGUGAAAUGUGUUUGUUUGGCAGGUCAGGGAUGCCUUCACACAGUUGCAUGAGUCUCUGCAUCCCAGUGUUCCAGACCAGGAACUUCACGCAAAUGUGUACUCCAAGGUCAAAAUGGCAUAGCGAGAGAUGAUCUGGUUGCUGGCAAUAACCAUUGAGAUGAACCCAAGACUCAAUUUCGAGGUUUACAGCGACUUUAUAGGCCGCAACAAGUUCUUGGUUGCUGACAUCCAGCCAGACAGCCAGUGCCACUUUGUAUUCGCCGCUCAAGAUCAGCUGUCCCUGCUCUGUGAAGCAUGAUGCUAAUACAUGGACAGA